rnacentral:misc_RNA from 1 species
ACCAGGAGUCAUUGGUUCAUCAUAUAUGCCAACAAUUAAAGCCAUGUUGGUUUUCUUGAUGGUCACACCUCCCGAUCCCUUCUUCCCGCGAAUAACCGCUCCUGGCUCACCCUGGAUAACCAUGUAUUUGUUGUCACCAAGGAAUAACCCAGUUGGUGCCAGAGAUCCAGGUUCAGCAAAGUCAUUCAUAACCCCAGUUAUCUGUUCAGGUUUGACCUGGGGGAACGAUUCGCUCUGGGCCCAGAUGCUGCCGUCGUGGCCGAUGAUGGCGGCGGCGGUGAGGUGCUGGCCGUCGAUCUCGCACAUCAG